CCUGUCUCCCUCCCUUAAUGAGAUUCAUCAGGGCUUAUCUGGACCCUCUGAGCGCUUAAUCAGUCAUGUCGCCUCGGCGCUGGUGUCCCCCACCCCGGCGGAAUGGGAUCAGGCAGCCCAGGUCAACACGGGCCGGGGGCCGCCAGCCACAGAGCACGGUCCCGCGGGACCAGGGCUGCGGGCUCCGGGCCGCUCUCCGCGCCGCCGGGGGUUGCUCCGUCCCUCCUGUCCUGCCUUCCCGGCUACGGAUUUGAACGUGAAGCGCGCCGGGGGGAAGGAAGGUGGGCGAGAGGACGUGGGGAGAGAGGGGACAGAGAGGUAAGAGAAGCAUUUUCCCCGGUCUGUGCCCAAGCCCCUUCCUUGGAUGCUGUGGUUGUUAUUAUUAUGGUUAUUUCAAUGAAUGAGUCAUUUGACUCGGUUCCACCGAGAAAACAAUUAGUAACGCGAUCCCUUUAAGGUUACUUCUCCGGAGAGCGAUGUUAGCUUUUCCGCUCAUCGCCUCGCUUGUUUGCUGAUUUCCAGCCCAAGGUCACGAAAAAAAGGAGGAAGAGGAGAAAAAGGCACCCAGGAGCAGGGAAAUGCGCACGGGCCGGGCCCCGACGUGUGCCCGGCGGCGCCCGGGCAAGGGCCGGGCAGGCCGGGCUGUUCAUAGAGCCGGGGCGAGCCGGCAGCCCGGGCUGUGGGCCUGCCCCGAGCUCCAGCGGCGCACUUCUGGGGGGCGGCACCCAUCCCAGCCGCGGCACCGGAGCCCCCGUCGAGACCGGUCGCGGUCCGGAGCCGGCAUGAGAGAGGCCGGACGGAGAGACAGACACAGAGUCCCCGGUGCCCAGUCUCUAGGAGAAGGGGCAGAAAGCGAAAGGGGACGCAGAGAAGUGAUAGCAAGAGGAGCGGGCGCUGAGGCUCUCCGCUCUCAGCCCACCUCGGGGCUCUCCGGAUAACUAUAGGCACAGGAACACAGGACACACGCACACACACACAGCCCCCUCGCAGAUAGGCACCAAAUACGUCUCUCCCUCCUGCGAGAUAACUGGGAGAUAAGGCUCCGGCAGAUAAGGGCUCCAGGCACCGGCAUCGGAUGUUUGCCCACAAAGUCCCCUUCGGGCUCCCCCAACCAGGCGCAGCCGCCGCCGCGCUGCUUCCCCUCCCCGGGCGGCCGAUAGACAGGAGAGCGGGGAAGAGAAAGAGAAAUCGCGGCAGAGGGGGAGAAAGAAGAGAAGCGAGGAGCCAAACCUGCUGCCGGUGCCUCGCAUGGGGCCGGGGCGCGGGGCCGCAGCGGGCGGUAAAUCCAGUGCGGCGGGAACGAGAGGCGGCGGCGAGUCCGACGGCUGCUGCCGGAGACUCAUGUAUAAAAAGGAGAGAGGAGGCGCCUCUCGCAGCCCUGCCGGAAAACUGCAGGCAGCCGGCCCUGAUUGGGCUCGGCGAGCCCUAAACAAACACGGAGCUCCGCAGGGGUGCCAGUCCCGGCGGCCAGCCUGCCCGCAGCUGGGGGCGGGAGCGGGCGCAGUCGGGGCGGGGGGGGGGCAGGGGAAAGGAGGGGGGCAGGAGAAUGGCACCUCGGGGUGCCCGCAGCGGGGGGGCGUCGGACCCCCUGCUCGGGGAAGAGCAGAGGGGGACUCGCCCUCCCAGAUGCCCAGUCUUUUUCUUCUUCUUUUUGUUUAGUAACUCGUAUAUAAAACAUACACACACAUCUUAUUUAAGAUAUGUCUAUUCCCCUUCUAUAAGUGUUUUUCCCCGCGCCUCCCGGCCUCGCAGUGGACAGCCCCUGGCAGUGGCCCGGGAGGAUGUGUGCCUGUCUCUCGCCCUAAGCAACCAGGUAAAUGUCUCAUAAAAAAAAAAUGUCUCCUUAUUUUUACUCGUUAAAAUCAGAGCUAACCGAGGGGAAAAAAUGUGGCUCCUCCUCGAGUUGCCCCAACCGUCAGGUGAAGCCAAAGCGAGCGGUGGGAUGUGUCCACCCCAGAAGCAGGCAGUAGAGGUUAUCAGCUGGAUAUCUGUCAUCAUCAGUUUGUACAGAAAGAGUCAUCUGCGGCGAAGGGCUGGACUAGAGCAGAGCCUGGCUCUCGGCAGCCGGCAAGACAUGAGCCCUCCCGGCAGAACCCGAGCCCAAAGCUGCUGAUGCGCGGUGCUGUCGCUGCUGGGGUAGGCAUGGCUUUUCUUUCCGUCUUUCCAGGCAAGGUGAACGGGAGGUGAAGAAUCCGCAGUGCCGGGGGUACGGUAGAACCCCGGCUGCAGCCAUCCGCUCUGCCGGCGGGGGGGAACCGGUUGCGACCUCCAAGUUUUAUUGUGCUCGUGAAUUUUUGUGCUGUAGCGCGGCGGGGGUUUGAUCGGGAAAGAACCACUUGCCCCAGAAACCGUUUCUCCAUUAAAUUGUAUGAUUAAAGGCGCUACUUCUUUCUUGUCA